CAUAGUCGGGUUCAUAGGCACUAGAACAGGGUCCUCAUCAGGAUUCCUGCCCAUAGGGGUAUUUUCUUGGCCAGGCUGCACCUUCUCUCUCCCUGCAUCCUUGUAGCUGCUGUGUCACUGGAUAGAAAGUUCUUAUGCAUCCCACGUAGCUAGCCCAUUGGAGGGAUGGGUCACUGAAUGCCUCAGGGAGAAAGUUCUGAACACUACGAUUUCACCACGAGAAGCUGGGUGCUGGGUGGGGCUUGGUUCACACCUGUGGUUCCUAACCAGCAGACCACUGGAAUCGUCUGAGGGGAACUUAGUCCUCGGCUGAUGCUUAGCCUCCACCCAGACCGGAGGGAGUGCAGAAGAGGGGGAAAUUGAAGAAGUUCCUCCUCAUUGGCCUCCAUGGAUCUGAGAUGUACAAAUAACGUGGGACAAGAUGGUAGGAAGUAAAACGUUCUUAACUAUGGGCCAAACUCGGGGAUGUUGUUAGGAAAGACCAGCGCCCACUUUUGGCACAUCUUUAUUGAUGAGAAUGAUCUGAAUGAGGCACUGGGACCUCUGGACGUCAAAAGAAGCUCAGAUUUUUUUUUUUUUUUUGUAUUUCUUGAUAAAUGGAAAUACAAAGAAGGCCUAAAGCAGUGUGAUACAAGUGUGGCAUAUUUAAAAUGUUUGGAUUUAAUAAAUGAAUAUUUUUACCCCAAAAAGGAAAAUUAGAUUUAUAAUGUUAUUCACAGAUUAUGAUGAAGUUCUAAAGCUGAUUCAAAGUAGACUCUAUGUGACAUGGUCCGGUAUUGGCUGCCAUCCUCCAGCACUGCCCAGGGACU